rnacentral:rRNA from 1 species
UUAGGAAUCUUCCACAAUGGGGGCAACCCUGAUGGAGCGACACUGCGUGAAGGAUGAAGGCCUUCGGGUCGUAAACUUCUAAAAGAGGGACGAAUGCUGACGGUACCUCUUGAUUAGCACCGGCUAACUCCGUGCCAGCAGCCGCGGUAAUACGGAGGGUGCGAGCGUUAUCCGGAAUCACUGGGCGUAAAGGGCGCGUAGGCGGUCUGUUGAGUCCGUUGUCAAAUGUCGAGGCUUAACCUCGGAACGGCAGUGGGUACUGGCAGGCUGGACGGCUGGAGAGGCGAGUGGAAUUACCAGUGUAGCGGUGGAAUGCGUAGAUACUGGUAGGAACACCCAUUGCGAAGGCAGCUCGCUGGACAGCUCGUGACGCUGAGGCGCGAAAGUGUGGGGAGCAAACCGG